AACGAACGCUGGCGGCAGGCUUAACACAUGCAAGUCGAACGCCCCGCAAGGGGAGUGGCAGACGGGUGAGUAACGCGUGGGAAUCUACCGUACCCUACGGAACAACAGUUGGAAACGACUGCUAAUACCGUAUACGCCCUUAGGGGGAAAGAUUUAUCGGGGUAUGAUGAGCCCGCGUUGGAUUAGCUAGUUGGUGGGGUAAAGGCCUACCAAGGCGACGAUCCAUAGCUGGUCUGAGAGGAUGAUCAGCCACAUUGGGACUGAGACACGGCCCAAACUCCUACGGGAGGCAGCAGUGGGGAAUAUUGGACAAUGGGCGCAAGCCUGAUCCAGCCAUGCCGCGUGAGUGAUGAAGGUCUUAGGAUUGUAAAGCUCUUUCACCGAUGAAGAUAAUGACGGUAGUCGGAGAAGAAGCCCCGGCUAACUUCGUGCCAGCAGCCGCGGUAA
rnacentral:rRNA from 1 species